rnacentral:rRNA from 1 species
AUGAACGCUCGCUACAGGCUUAACACAUGCAAGUCGAGGGGAAACGGCAUCGAAAGCUUGCUUUUGAUGGGCGUCGACCGGCGCACGGGUGAGUAACGCGUAUCCAACCUGCCCAUCACUUGGGAAUAACCUUGCGAAAGUAAGACUAAUGCCCAAUGACAUCCCACGAAGGCAUCCGAAUGGGAUUAAAGAUUUAUCGGUGAUGGAUGGGGAUGCGUCUGAUUAGCUUGUUGGCGGGGUGACGGCCCACCAAGGCAACGAUCAGUAGGGGUUCUGAGAGGAAGGUCCCCCACAUUGGAACUGAGACACGGUCCAAACUCCUACGGGAGGCAGCAGUGAGGAAUAUUGGUCAAUGGGCGAGAGCCUGAACCAGCCAAGUAGCGUGCAGGAUGACGGCCCUAUGGGUUGUAAACUGCUUUUAUAAGGGAAUAAAGUGGGUCACGUGUGACUUUUUGCAUGUACCUUAUGAAUAAGGACUGGCUAAUUCCGUG